AUGCGGGCUGGCCUGGGCGGGACAGGGCUCCUCCCAGAAGCUCCCCCAGGAAGGAAACACAAGGGAGGGCCCGGGGUGGGGGGCAGACCCACACAGCCCCUCCACGACCUCCACCUGUGCACCCCGGGCAGGAAGCCUGGGCCUGACCAGCCCUGGGGAGAGCCGCCUGUGCGGCUGACACCCAGGUUCCCACCAACACUGCUCCACCAGACGGCCUGCAACACCGGGCCCGGAACUGCCCCCACGCCCCCGCAGCGUGCUCCCGAGACCGCAGUCCGUGUCGCCAUGACACUGCGACCCGAGAACAGCCUGGGGAACACUGGCCACCUGGGAGUCAGGAGUCUGUGGCUGCCCAUUCAACUUCCCUUCAAGCCUGGAUCAGGGCUCUGGCCCACAGGGAGCCCCCCUAGCGGGGCUCCGGGCUCAGCCACUAUCCCCCCUCCCCAGGAAAAGCACUGGCAGGGACACCCAAACACCCCAGCAACCAGCAAAUCCCCACAAUUGUCAGCUGGCAGCUGGCAAAGCGGGACUGGGGGUGGCAGCCGCUGCCUCCUACCCCCAGGGGGAGGAUGCCAGCACCCAGGCCAGCGCCAGCUCUCUGCUGCUGGUAAUGGACCUCACAACCCCUGGCAACCAGCUGGGAACAGCCAAGCCAGGCCUGCUAGAAGACCCUCCCCUCCCCGGCCUGCUGGUAGACGCGUGGGUGCUGCUGGCCCGCACUGGCCCUGGGCCCCCACACGGCAGAGCAAUGGCCACUCAGGGCUCACACUCCAGAGCGUCGGGGGUGCGGCAGCCUGUCCAGCCCGGAGUGAGCCCCUGCCAGGAGCCAGCUCUGCAAGCUGCAGCCAGGCCCGGCCACACGUUGCACAGUUCCCACCAAGCCCCUCCCGAGGCACCGCAGGCCUGCAGAGCCUCCGUGGCUGCCAGGGAAGCCGCACCCCAGCCCAGCCAAGGCAUAAAAUGCAGGUCUGGGGAGACAGAAAUGGGGCUGCUCAGACCAGGGCGCAGGGCCCAGCGGAGCCGGCCAGAAGCGCGGCCCCGGCCCCUGCCCGCCAAGUGGCAGCCAGUGCGUCUGCAGCUUCCCCAGCACCCUCGAGCCAGCAGCCCCAGUCCCCGGGCACCCUCGACACUGCUAAGUGCACCCCCACAGAGCCCUUCCCGUUCUGUCUGCCCCAAUGCAGAGAAGCACACUCGCAACCUGGAUCCUCCGACACGGAACCUGGAGACGGCUCUCACUGCUCCCGUCCCAGGACGGCUGCCGCCUCCGUCACUUAG
rnacentral:lncRNA from 1 species